rnacentral:rRNA from 1 species
UACAGAGACUGCAAGCGUUAUUCGGAUUCACUGGGCGUAAAGGGUGCGCAGGCGGUUGGGUGUGUCAGAUGUGAAAUCCCGAGGCUUAACCUCGGAACUGCGUCUGAAACUACUCGACUAGAGUACUGGAGAGGGAAACGGAAUUCACGGUGUAGCAGUGAAAUGCGUAGAUAUCGUGAGGAACACCAGAGGCGAAGGCGGUUUUUCCUGGACAGUUACUGACGCUCAGGCACGAAAGCAUGGGGGA